GAUGAAGAACGUAGUGAAAUGCGAUAAGUAAUGUGAAUUGCAGAAUUCAGUGAAUCAUCGAAUCUUUGAACGCACAUUGCGCCCGCCAGUAUUCUGGCGGGCAUGCCUGUUCGAGCGUCAUUUCAACCCUCAGGCCCCCAGUGCCUGGUGUUGGGGAUCGGCAGCAGGGCGUCAAGCCCGCCGGCCCCGAAAUCUAGUGGCGGUCUCGCUGUAGUCCUCCUCUGCGUAGUAGCACAACCUCGCAGUUGGAACGCGGCGGUGGCCAUGUCGUUAAACACCCCACUUCUGAAAGUUGACCUCGGAUCAGGUAGGAAUACCCGCUGAACUUAAGCAUAUCAAUAAGCGGAGGA
rnacentral:misc_RNA from 1 species